UACGUAGGGGGCAAGCGUUGUCCGGAAUCAUUGGGCGUAAAGAGCGUGUAGGCGGCUCGGUAAGUCCGCUGUGAAAGUCCAGGGCUCAACCCUGGAAUGCCGGUGGAAACUGUCGAGCUAGAGUCCGGAAGAGGCGAGUGGAAUUCCUGGUAUAGCGGUGAAAUGCGCAGAUAUCAGGAGGAACACCAAUGGCGAAGGCAGCUCGCUGGGACGGUACUGACGCUGAGACGCGAAAGCGUGGGGAGCGAACAGG
rnacentral:rRNA from 1 species